GGGGGCGACUGGCUUCGACGGGGUUGGUGAAGCUGUGGCCGCGUGCCCAGGUCCUCGGAUCCUGGUAAAACAUUCGGGAAAAUCUUCAACUGCCAACGAUAACCUGGCACUGGCUGCGUAACUCUUAGGAGUUGCUGCACCUGCCCUUGAGAAAGCUCGCCUGAGGCGGUUUCAAGGGUAUCGCAAAUUCGGGAUAGUCGGGCGUCGCGCCUUCAGGCGACCGGCGAAAGUUUAGAAGGCUUGUUCAGCCGUGGGCCGCCCACUGGCCAGCGUCUGGAGACCUCAAUCGGUGGGAUACGCACGUAGACGCUGUGGUGAAUCUAGUCUCGGACCGGGGUUCGAAUCCCCGCGCCUCCACUA
rnacentral:tmRNA from 1 species